rnacentral:rRNA from 1 species
GACGUAGGGCGCGAGCGUUGUCCGGAUUUAUUGGGCGUAAAGAGCUCGUAGGCGGUUUGUCGCGUCUGCUGUGAAAACCCGAGGCUCAACCUCGGGCCUGCAGUGGGUACGGGCAGACUAGAGUGCGGUAGGGGGAGAUUGGAAUUCCUGGUGUAGCGGUGGAAUGCGCAGAUAUCAGGAGGAACACCGAUGGCGAAGGCAGAUCUCUGGGCCGUAACUGACGCUGAGGAGCGAAAGCAUGGGGAGCGAACAGG